rnacentral:lncRNA from 1 species
AAUCUUUUUCUUUCCCCUCUUCUGGCCAUCUGUUGUAAUCUCUUGCCCAGAUGGGACACACAGAAGCAGCCGGAUGCCGCGCAGGAUGACCUACUGAAGCGUAACGCUCCAGAUCCCUCAUCCACGCUAGGAAAUAGCUCCAGGGAAUCUGGUCCUCCCAGUGGACGAUUUCUAACCUCAGCUGCAGCACCCUCUGCCCAAGGUCUGCCCCUUCGGACCCCUCUUCCCCGCGCUCACCUCGCUGGAGAAACCCAAGCCGAGCGUCACGAUCCAAGAGGAACUGAAAACGGGGCAGAUAAAUUGAAAGGUUUGAGCUGUGUUCCAAAGUACCAGUUUUUCUCAGGUUGUGUGUGUCUUACUGUAACUAUAGUGGCUUUGUUUGGGUGGCAGGGCAACUUCUAAG